AAUGAACGCUGGCGGCAUGCCUAACACAUGCAAGUCGAACGAGACCUUCGGGUCUUGUGGCGCACGGGUGCGUAACGCGUGGGAACCUGCCCUUAGGUUCGGACUAACUCCCCGAAAGGGGUGCUAAUACCGGAUCAUGUCUUCGGCCCAAAGAUUUAUCGCCUUUGGAUGGGCCCGCGUUGGAUUAGCUAGUUGGUAGGGUAAAAGCAUACCAAGGCGACGAUCCAUAGCUGGUCUGAGAGGAUGAUCAGCCACACUGGGACUGAGACACGGCCCAGACGCCUACGGGAGGCAGCAAUGGGGAAAAUUGGACAAUGGGCGAAAGCCUGAUCCAGCAAUGCCGCGUGAGUGAUGAAGGCCUUAGGGUUGUAAAGCGCUUUUACCCGGGAUGAUAAUGACGGUACCGGGAGAAUAAGCUCCGGCUAACUCCGUG
rnacentral:rRNA from 1 species